CUGUGAUCUUCUUUAAAUAGUCUCGAGCAGCAGAUAAACAUGGAAUCUAACGGAUGAUCAGCUUCACAACUGAAGGGAUCUACCUCUGCGUCUUCCUGCAACAUUGCCUUCCAUACUUAUUCAGUAACAGGUUUGACUGAAUCUUUCUCUGUGUCUCAGAUGAGGAGGAUGUGAAGCUCAGGA